rnacentral:tRNA from 1 species
GGCCACCGUAGCUCAGUCGGUAGAGCAGCGCAUUCGUAACGCGCAGGUCACCAGUUCGAGUCUGGUCGGUGGCUCCC